CCCUUAGAUGUUCUGGGCCGCACACGCGCUACACUGAAGGAGGCAGCGUGUACUCCUGGAUCGAAAGAUUUAGGUAACCCGCGAAUCUCCUUCGUGCUAGGGAUUGAGGUUUGCAAUUAUCCUUCAUGAACGAGGAAUUCCCAGUAAGUGCAAGUCAUAAGCUUGCGCUGACUACGUCCCUGCCCUUUGUACACACCGCCCGUCGCUACUACCGAUUGAAUGAUUUAGUGAGGACUUCGGACUGGGACCGAUGCGGCUUUCGGGCUGCGUCGGUAUUCUGGAAAGAUGUCCAAACUGUAUCAUUUAGAGGAAGUAAAAGUCGUANCA
rnacentral:rRNA from 1 species